CAUUGAUGGAUGCCACACUACCGGAAGACGUCGUUUUUUGUGUGAAUCCUGAGCCAUUAGCAGUUUGUCCACUGUUUGCUAUCAGUAAAUUUAACCAUGGAAAUUGAUUUUAUUCUAUGAGUAAAAUCUCGGUGUAUUCCAGUACAGAUUGUGCAAACAAACGUCCAAAAAUUUGUGCAUACAUAUUGCGGUCCUAAGCUAUUGCAAUUAAUGCAUCUUCGAUUAUGUGAGAUAAAGAAGCAUUUAAGCACCCUUUUUUAAGCUGACGAUGACGGUCAAUGAGAAAGAUCCAGCAGUGUAAUAACCAGAGAGAGGAAGUGAUUUUCUGAAUUGGUAAAUUACGGCAUUGUACAACUUGGAAUUUGCAUCCAUUUUGCCGGAAAGAAUUUACUGUAGAUUUUUCGAGUCUCCAUUAUUUCCUUAAAAGAAAGGAAAUUUUCCACUUUCCAUGAAAAUGAACUUCUCUUCCCAGAACUAUCAAGAAGGGAACUGCUGCUGUUUAACUCAGAAUCAGGCUCAGUAAAAUCCUGCAUUAUUGAUGUCUCUUUCAAUAUAAGAACUUCAGUUGGGAAAAUGACAGUGUCUUGGACAAGAAAACCUGAAUCUUGAUCAAAUAGACUAGUAAGCGUCACAAAUUCACGCCAACCCCAAUCC